AAAAAAAAAAAAAAAAAAAAAAAGAAAGAAAAGAAAAAGCAGGAAUGUCUGGAGCAAGGGGCCUUAGGAAAGGAAAGGAAGAAGAAGCUGUGUUCAACCUGGCAGAAGGGUUGCUGGACUGAUGGGGACCAGGCUUUUCCGCCCCCAAGGAGCCCAUGGUCAGGAUGACAGUAGGAGCCAGAGACAUUGAGUUCCUUGUCAAUUCUGGAGCUGAGCAUUUGGUGGUAACUCAGCCAAGAGCCCCUUUGUCCAGCAAGACAAUAGAUAUAAUUGGAGCAACUAGAGUUUCAGAGAAACAGGCCUUCUGCUUACCACAAACCUACUCUGUAGGGGGCCAUGAAAUUAUGCAUCAGUUCUUGAACAUGCCAGACUGCCCACUGCCUCUGUUGGGAAGGGACCUGUUAAGCAAACUAAGAGCCACCAUCACUUUUACAAACCAGGGUUCCUUACAGUUAAAAUUGCCUCAAACAGUGAUCGUAAUGGCUCUCGUAGUCCCACGGGAAGAAUGGAGGCUUUUCUUAACUGAACCUGGCCAGGGGAUAGAACCUGCCGUGGCCAAGCAAUGGCCACAGGUCUGGGCAGAAGACAACCCUCUGGGACUAGCUGUGAACCAGACUCCGGUGGUUAUCAAAGUGAAGCCAGAGGCACAGCCAGUUAGACAAGACAGACGGCACCCAGUUCCAAGGGAGGCCCUCGAGGGAAUCCAAGUCCAUCUCAGAUGCUUGAAAGCAUUUGGAAUCAUAGUUUCUUGCCAGUCUCCUUGGAAUACACCUCUCCUGCCCAUCCCCAAACCAGGUACCAAGGACUAUUGGCUGGUGCAAGAUUUGCGUCUGGUCAACAAGGUGACAGUGACUUUACACCCCGUGGUUCCUAACCUCUAUAGGUUGCUAGGACUGCUACCAGCUGAGGCUAGCUGGUUCACUUGCUUGAACUUAAAAGAUGCUUUCUUCAGUAUCUGGCUAGCCCCUGAGAGCCAGAAACUGUUUGCCUUCUAGUGGGAAGAUCCAGAGUCAGGUGUAACCAUGCAGUACACUUGGACUUGACUUCCCCAGGGGUUUAAGAACUCCCCAACCAUUUUCGGGGAAGCACCAGGACCUUCAAAGGUUUUCUGCCAAGGACAUAGGCUGUGUUCUGCUUCAGUACGUGGAUGAACUUUUGCUGGGACACCCAGCAGCAGUCGGGUGUAUCCGGGGAACUGACUCAUUGUUCAGAAACCUGGAGAGUUGUGGAUACAUGGUCUCCAAGAAAAGGGCCCAGAUCUGCCAACAACAGGUAUGUUUUCUGGGAUUUACUAUCCAGCAAGGACAGCACAGCCUGGGACCAGAGAGAAAACAAGUCAUCAGCAGCUUGCUGAUACUGAAGACCCGGACACAGGUUUGAGAAUUCUUGGGGGCCGUGGGAUUUUGCAAACUGUCCUAACUUUGCAGUUCUAGCCAAACCUCUGUAUGAGGCCACAGAGCCAUUCAGGUGGAACCCAGAGCAACAACAGGCCUUCUCCCUCUGAUGUCCGCCUCGGCCCUUGUGCUCCCAGACUUAACAAAGCCUUUCACUCUGUAUGUGUCUGCAUGAGAAAAGAUGGCAGUGGGGAUCCUCACCCAGGCCAUAGGCCCAUGGCCUCUACCAGUGGCGUACCUUGUCCAAACAACUGGACGAGGUUUCUAAAGGGUGGCCCCUGCCUACGGGUGGUAGUGGCUACCGCUCUGCUGGCACAGGAUGCAGACAAGCUAACGUUAGGACAAAAUUUAAAUAAAAGUCCCCCAUGCUGUGGUCACCUUGAUGAACACAAAGGGCCACCAUUGGCUUACAAAUGGCAGGCUAACCACGUACCAGGGCUUGUUGUGCAAAAACCCACGCAUAACCAUAGAAGUUUGUAAUACCCUAAACCCGGCCACCCUACUCCCUGUGUCGGAGGACUGGGUGACACAUGAUUGUAUAGAGGUGCUGGACUCCAUCUACUCUAGUCAGCCAGACCUGCGGGACCAACUGUGGACACAGGCAGACUGGGGACUGUAUAUGGAUGGGAGCAGCUCUGUCAGCCCCCGAGGAGAACGAUGCACUGGAUAUAUGCUGGUAACUCUAGACACAACUAUAGAGGCCAAGCCACUACCUCAGGGUACCUCUGCACAAUGAACAGAGUUAAUGGCCCUAAUGUGUGCCCUAGAACUGAGUGAAGGAAAAUUUGUUAACAUCUUUACUGAGUCUUGGUAUGCAUUCCUCACUCUCUAAGUGUAUGGAGCGUUGUACAAGGAAAAGGGUGUGUUUAACUCUGGGGGUAAAGAAAUAAAAUAUCAACAGGAAAUUUUGCAGCUAUUGGAAGUAGCAUGGAAGCCCCAGAAGGUGGUGGUCGUACACUGCCGGGGACACUAGCGAAAUUCCACUGCAGUAGCACAGGGAAAUGCUCGUACAGAUGCAGAGGCCCGAAAAGCAGCAUCCAUUCCCUACUGGGCUCAGUCACAGCUCCCCUACUGCCCCAGGCUCCUGUCCUGGUGCCAGUCUACUCUCAGGAAGAAAAAAGCUUCUUCCAAAAGGAAGGUGGAAAAGAAAUGGAGGGAAGAUGGAUAUGCCUAUCAGAUGGACGGGCUGCAGUACCACAUCUGCUGGGACCUGCAGUGGUAUUGGCUGUCCACGAAACCUCCCAACUUGGUCAAGAGUCCCUUGAAAAACUGUUAGGCUGAGAUUUUUACAUCUCUCAUUUGUCUGCACUAGCCAAAACAGUAAUCCAGUGGUGUGUGACGGGCAGGCAGCAUAAUGCCAGACAAGGACCAAUGGUCCCAACAGGAAUUCAGGCUUGUGGAAGUGUUCCCUUUAAAGACUCGCAGGUAGACUUCACCAAGAUGCCCAAGCAUGGAGGUAAUUGGUAUCUGCUGGUUCUGGUAUGUACCUACUCUGGAUAGGUAGAAGCCUACCUGACACAAACUAAAAAAGCCCAUGAAGUAACUCGUGUGCUUUUAAGAGACAUCAUUCCUAGAUUUGGACUGCCCCUGCGAGUCAGCUCAGAUAACGGGCCCACCUUUGUAGCUAACCUGGUACAGAACACAGCAAAAAUACUGGCAAUCAGCUGGAAGUUACAUGCUGCCUACCAGUCUCAGAGUUCAAGCAAAGGGGAGCAAAUGAAUCGGACUAUUAAAAAUAGCUUAGGGAAAGUGUGUCAGGAAACAGGAUUAAAUGUCCAGGUCCUCCCUAUGCUUUUGUUUAAGACUAGCUGCACUCCUAAGAAAACUGGGUAUUCCCCUUAUGAAAUCCUCUACCAUAGGCCUCUCCCCAUCCUUCAAGGAUUCCCAGGAACCCCCCAGGAACUCGGAGAGACUGAACUCCAUUGGCAAUUAUGGGCCUUGGGGAAAGUAGCAGAAAAAGUGUCAUUAUGGGUUAAUGAAAAUGUCCUGUCAGCUUAUUCUCCCCAGUUCACCCUUUCUCACCAGGUGACUGAGUUUGGAUCGAGGACUGGAACGUGGCUCCCCUAUGGCCAAGGUGGAAGGACCCCAGACUGUCAACCACUCCAACCUCCGGAAAGGUUGAGGGAAUUCCUGCAUGGAUCCAUCACAGCUGUGUGAAACCUGCAGCACCUGAAACCUGGGAAGUAAAGCCAGAUCUCCAUGACACGUGCAAAAUCACCUUAAGGAGAGCUGAGACAACAAGUUCUGCUCCAGUCACACCCCGGGAGCUGACUGGUCUGUGCAUGGCCGGAGCAUGAGGAUUUCCAGCAUGGGACAGUUGGUAAAAGGCUUUACUACCACUUUGGUCCAGGGGAAAACCUCAGCACAAGUUUAUUAGGUGAAUCACUACCGACCAGUCUCACAAGAAGACUCUGACAGUGAGAAUGAAGUGUCCGAGGGGUUCUGUCUAAGGCUCGUCCUGCAACACUAUGGCAAUUCAUCUUCUUGAAAUUAUCUGUGGGCUUGUAAAAUAAGAUGAUGGAGACAUCAAGUAAAAGCCUAAAGGGCCAAAAGAAUGCAGAAGCCUCUUCUAUUGGGGAAGGAACAAAGAAGAUAGAUCUAUUUUGGUCUCUGAGGAGCACGUUUUUUCAUAUUCCCUAGAUCUUGGUCCUACCUCAGAUUGAGAGAGACUGGUCAAGAAAAUUCUAAUCAUGUGAAAUAUUUCAUUUCAUGUCAUAUUCUAAAUUCUAAAAUUCUCUAUACAUUGUCCAACAUUUUAUUUAUAUAUCAUGUCUUGCAGUGCAUCUAUAGGCAAUACGUUGAAAACAUGGAAACAUAUGUCAGAUGUUUUCCUUAAAAACCUAUUGCCUAUA